rnacentral:rRNA from 1 species
CCUACGGGAGGCAGCAGUGGGGAAUAUUGCACAAUGGGGGGAACCCUGAUGCAGCGACGCCGCGUGAGUGAAGAAGUAUUUCGGUAUGUAAAGCUCUAUCAGCAGGGAAGAAAAUGACGGUACCUGACUAAGAAGCCCCGGCUAACUACGUGCCAGCAGCCGCGGUAAUACGUAGGGGGCAAGCGUUAUCCGGAUUUACUGGGUGUAAAGGGAGCGUAGACGGUUAUGCAAGUCUGAAGUGAAAGCCCAAGGCUCAACCAUGGGACUGCUUUGGAAACUACCGGGCUGGAGUGCCGGAGAGGUAGGCGGAAUUCCUAGUGUAGCGGUGAAAUGCGUAGAUAUUAGGAGGAACACCAGUGGCGAAGGCGGCCUACUGGACGGUGACUGACGCUGAGGCUCGAAAGCGUGGGGAGCAAACAGGAUUAGAUACCCUUGUAGUC